GCUCCAGUAGCUGAGUUGGUUAGAUCACCGUAAUUAUAAUGCGGUGGUCGAGAGUUCGAGCCUCUUGGAGCA
rnacentral:tRNA from 1 species